ACUAAGGGCUCAUGGGGGAUGCCUUGGCGUCAAGAGCCGAUGAAGGGCGUAGUAAGACUGCGAUAAGCCCCGGUUAGCUGUCUAACAAGCUCAGCCGGGGAUUCCCGAAUGGGGAAACCCGGCCACUGUAAUGGUGGUCAGCCUCUCACGAGGCGGGUAAGCGAGGGAACUGAAACAUCUAAGUACCUCGAGGAAAGAAAAUCAACCGAGACUCCCUUAGUAGUGGCGAACGAACGGGGACCAGCCCAAACCGCAUGGCCCAUACGGGUCAGAGUCCAGAGUCCAUGCGGUGUUGUAGGGCCUGCGCUGGAGCGCUCUGAUGCUCCGUAAGAGUUACCAACUGCAUGUUUAGUAGAACAGACUGGAACGUCUGGCCAUAGAAGGUGAUA
rnacentral:rRNA from 16 species